GAUUAUGAGACGGCAAGAAGCAUGUAAAUCCAAAUAAAGGACUUCAGUAUAACUGAAUUGGAAAAACUUGCUUCUCAUAGUGAAUGACAAAGAAGCCUUUCUAUGGUAAAAGAGAAACCAACAGUUUGUUUGGUUUCAUACUCUUUGGCCAGUGGAUAAGAAAGAUGAGUUUUGGGGAAAGAACCAUUCAUCCACAGAGCUGCUCAGCAUCCCAUCAGACGGCUGAAUUCUAAAGGCAACCAGAUGAACUGAAUUCCAAAGGGUAACAGAACCCCGCAAGGAGAGAUG